rnacentral:rRNA from 1 species
AACGCUAGCUACAGGCUUAACACAUGCAAGUCGAGGGGAAACGAUAUUGGAAGCUUGCUUCCGAUAGGCGUCGACCGGCGCACGGGUGAGUAACGCGUAUCCAACCUGCCCACCACUUGGGAAUAACCUUGCGAAAGUAAGACUAAUGCCCAAUGAUACCUCUAGAAGACAUCUGAAAGAGAUUAAAGAUUUAUCGGUGAUGGAUGGGGAUGCGUCUGAUUAGCUUGUUGGCGGGGUAACGGCCCACCAAGGCAACGAUCAGUAGGGGUUCUGAGAGGAAGGUCCCCCACAUUGGAACUGAGACACGGUCCAAACUCCUACGGGAGGCAGCAGUGAGGAAUAUUGGUCAAUGGGCGAGAGCCUGAACCAGCCAAGUAGCGUGCAGGAAGACGGCCCUAUGGGUUGUAAACUGCUUUUAUAAGGGAAUAAAGUGAGUCUCGUGAGACUUUUUGCAUGUACCUUAUGAAUAAGGACCGGCUAAUUCCGUGCCAGCAGCCGCGGUAAUACGGAAGGUCCGGGCGUUAUCCGGAUUUAUUGGGUUUAAAGGGAGCGUAGGCCGGAGAUUAAGCGUGUUGUGAAAUGUAGACGCUCAACGUCUGCACUGCAGCGCGAACUGGUUUCCUUGAGUACGCACAAAGUGGGCGGAAUUCGUGGUGUAGCGGUGGAAUGCUUAGAUAUCACGAAGAACUCCGAUU